AUGGGUUAGGGGUAUGGGUUAGGGGUAUGGGUUAGGGGUAUGGGUUAGGGGUUAGGGGUUAGGGUUAGGGGUUAGGGGUUAGGGGUAUGGGUUAGGGGUAUGGGUUAGGGGUUAGGGGUAUGGGUUAGGGGUUAGGGGUUAGGGUUAGGGGUAUGGGUUAGGGGUUAGGGUUAGGGGUUAGGGGUUAGGGUUAGGGGUUAGGGGUUAGGGGAAAAUAGAAUGUGUGUGUCUCAUCUUUCCUGUAUUCUCUCCAGAUCAAUGAGAGCAGACAGGACUGGCGUCUGCAAGGCUUGGUUAGUGGCUGUGGCUUCUACGGCCCUCCUGUGGUGUACAUACGGGCCGGGGAGAAGACCUGUUACCCCCUUACCUUUAGACCCACCACACAGAGCAUCGUCACGGGCAGGCUGUCCUUGCUGAAUGACACAGAUGGGACGGAGCACAGCUUCACCCUGAGAGGGGUGGGGGAGCGGUCCCUACCCCUGGACCACGUGGUGAUACACUGCUCUGUCAGACAGGUCACACACAGCACCCUGCAGGUCCCCAACUACAGCCAGCACCCCCUCACCUGUCAGGUAGAUACACUAUUACUAUAGUACUACUACACAUAGCACCCUGCAGGUCCCCAACUACAGCCAGCACCCCCUCACCUGUCAGGUAGAUACACUAUUACUAUAGUACUACUACACACAGCACCCUGCAGGUCCCCAACUACAGCCAGCACCCCCUCACCUGUCAGGUAGAUACACUAUUACUAUAGUACUACUACACAUAGCACCCUGCAGGUCCCCAACUACAGCCAGCACCCCCUCACCUGUCAGGUAGAUACACUAUUACUAUAGUACUACUACACACAGCACCCUGCAGGUCCCCAACUACAGCCAGCACCCCCUCACCUGUCAGGUAGAUACACUAUUACUAUAGUACUACUACACACAGCACCCUGCAGGUCCCCAACUACAGCCAGCACCCCCUCACCUGUCAGGUAGAUACACUAUUACUAUAGUACUACUACACAUAGCACCCUGCAGGUCCCCAACUACAGCCAGCACCCCCUCACCUGUCAGGUAGAUACACUAUUACUAUAGUACUACUACACACAGCACCCUGCAGGUCCCCAACUACAGCCAGCACCCCCUCACCUGUCACGUAGAUACACUAUUACUAUAGUACUACUACACACAGCACCCUGCAGGUCCCCAACUACAGCCAGCACCCCCUCACCUGUCAGGUAGAUACACUAUUACUAUAGUACUACUACACACAGCACCCUGCAGGUCCCCAACUACAGCCAGCACCCCCUCACCUGUCAGGUAGAUACACUAUUACUAUAGUACUACUACACACAGCACCCUGCAGGUCCCCAACUACAGCCAGCACCCCCUCACCUGUCAGGUAGAUACACUAUUACUAUAGUACUACUACACACAGCACCCUGCAGGUCCCCAACUACAGCCAGCACCCCCUCACCUGUCACGUAGAUACACUAUUACUAUAGUACUACUACACACAGCACCCUGCAGGUCCCCAACUACAGCCAGCACCCCCUCACCUGUCAGGUAGAUACACUAUUACUAUAGUACUACUACACACAGCACCCUGCAGGUCCCCAACUACAGCCAGCACCCCCUCACCUGUCAGGUAGAUACACUAUUACUAUAGUACUACUACACACAACACCCUGCAGGUCCCCAACUACAGCCACACACACAGUUGCUGAUUGU
rnacentral:lncRNA from 1 species